CAUCCUCUGCGCCGGAAGAACUGCCGAAACCUUCAUCUUCCUCCUCGUUGAGCCCGCACCGCCACCCAAAUCCUCCCUGUCGCGUGCCCUAGCGCCGGUGUCACCUCUUCUCUUCUCCUCUGCGCACGCAACGCCGACCCCAGCGCCCUGUCGGGCGAGUCUCCUUCCCGAUCCUGCCUCCCUCUCCCCUGCCGACGCCGACGACGCCAGGGAACAGCGAGCCGGUGGCUGAGCGUCUCUCUUUCCCUCUUCCUUUCUUCUUCCCUGUCUCCGCCACUGUGAUUGGGACGUACCGCCGCCCCUCUCGGCCGGAAGCCACCUCCAAGUCGUGCCCUAGUUCUCCAUAGCCGCCACUUGAUCAUCUUUCCGAGCCCUAGACUCAAGCUGAUUUCGUCGGGUUUUUCCUUCACAGCUUGAGGUUGGUUCUGUCAUGAGGUAGGAUGAGAACCGAUUUGUAGUUCUAUCUCUGGUUCCAGCAGUAAUUUCAAUUGAUCACCCUUUACGACAAUUAGGUCUUCGGCUGUGAGAUAACAUGGGAGCAGCAUAUGAAGGGUGUUGGAUUUGGAAAUCAACAACUCCAUGUUGCUCCGACCGUGAUCCUUGGUAGCGAGCACUUCUUCGGUUGUGAAUUAACAGAGAGGUCUCCAAUUCGGGAUUCGAGUUGGAUGUGAUCUUCUGGAUUUAUUGA